rnacentral:rRNA from 1 species
UGGGGAAUAUUGGACAAUGGGGGCAACCCUGAUCCAGCCAUGCCGCGUGUGUGAAGAAGGCCUUUUGGUUGUAAAGCACUUUAAGCAGGGAGGAGAGGCUAAUGGUUAAUACCCAUUAGAUUAGACGUUACCUGCAGAAUAAGCACCGGCUAACUCUGUGCCAGCAGCCGCGGUAAUACAGAGGGUGCGAGCGUUAAUCGGAAUUACUGGGCGUAAAGCGAGUGUAGGUGGCUCAUUAAGUCACAUGUGAAAUCCCCGGGCUUAACCUGGGAACUGCAUGUGAUACUGGUGGUGCUAGAAUAUGUGAGAGGGAAGUAGAAUUCCCAGGUGUAGCGGUGAAAUGCGUAGAGAUCUGGAGGAAUACCGAUGGCGAAGGCAGCUUCCUGGCAUAAUAUUGACACUGAGAUUCGAAAGCGUGGGUAGCAAAACAGGAUUAGAUACCCUGGUAGUCCACGCCGUAAACGAUGUCUACUAGCCGUUGGGGUCCUUGAGACUUUAGUGGCGCAGUUAACGCGAUAAGUAGACCGCCUGGGGAGUACGGCCGCAAGGUUAAAAACUUAAAUGAAUUGACGGGGUCUAGCUGUUUCCU